AUUUGGCGUACUAUUUAUACGCAUUUUCAUGAAACCGGGCUCCUCGGCCAUAAACUUGGUUUGGGUGGAAACCUCCAUUGAAAGGAAACAUUUAUUUUGUAAAGCCCUAAUGUGCAUGUGCAUCCACCAUGAAAUGUUCAUAACAAUGUGACUUAUUCAUAAAAUGGACACUCUGUUCUGCAAGAAGAGCCCCCUACAAAGCUAUGUAAUAGGCAGAAUAUCACUAUUGCCUUUGUUGCAACAUAUUUAACUUGUACAACUGUUUUUGUUACAGGAGCAUCCAGUGUGAUUGUAGGACAUCCACUUGACACAGUCAAGACUCGUUUACACGCUGGCAAAGGAUACAGGAACACUCUCCACUGUGUUGUAACAAUCUA